rnacentral:rRNA from 1 species
AGUGAACGCUGGCGGUAGGCCUAACACAUGCAAGUCGAACGGCAGCACAGUAAGAGCUUGCUCUUACGGGUGGCGAGUGGCGGACGGGUGGGGAAUACAUCGGAAUCUACUUUUUCGUGGGGGAUAACGUAGGGAAACUUACGCUAAUACCGCAUACGACCUACGGGUGAAAGCAGGGGAUCUUCGGACCUUGCGCGAUUGAAUGAGCCGAUGUCGGAUUAGCUAGUUGGCGGGGUAAAGGCCCACCAAGGCGACGAUCCGUAGCUGGUCUGAGAGGAUGAUCAGCCACACUGGAACUGAGACACGGUCCAGACCCCUACGGGAGGCAGCAGUGGGGAAUAUUGGACAAUGGGCGCAAGCCUGAUCCAGCCAUACCGCGUGGGUGAAGAAGGCCUUCGGGUUGUAAAGCCCUUUUGUUGGGAAAGAAAAGCAGCAGGUUAAUACCCCGCUGUUCUGACGGUACCCAAAGAAUAAGCGCCGGCUAACUUCGUG